rnacentral:rRNA from 1 species
CCUGCCAGUAGUCAUAUGCUUCGUUCAAGGGCUAAGCCAUGCAUGUCUCAGCGCACUCGGUCUGACAGAGGGUCUGUGAAUGGCUCCUUACAUCAGCAGUCAUCUACGUGAUAGAGUGUGGUUGGUGCCACCACCUGGCCAAGGCACCCAGUUGGACAUCCUCCAAAACCUUGUGGCUAAUACACGUCCGCAACAGUCGGCCAUGGCUUGUCUGUCAGCGCCAGUACCGCUGCCACGCAGUGGUCGAUCGCGCCCAGCCGGUCGAAAGACCAGCGUCCGUCAAGGACAGCGAGCUGUGGUUGACUCAGGCUGGUCCCCCUUUCUUCGGUGGGACGGUCGUUCUGGCAGAGUGGUGUGGCCUUCUGGCCACAGGAAUCGCUUGAUCACACGAACUUCUGACCUAUCAGCUUGGACUGUGGUGUAGUGGACCACAGUGGCAGUGACGGGUGACGGAGAAUCAGGGUUCGAUUCCGGAGAGGGAGCCUGAGAAACGGCUACCACUACCAAGGUGGGCAGCAGGCACGCAAAUUGCCCAAUGCAGAAACACUCCUGUGAGGCAGCGACGAACCGCAGCAAUCCUGCUGGCCCUCUUAGCCAGUGGGACUUGGAAUGGAUGCAAUCCAAACACAGUGAUGAGUAUCAACUGGAGGGCAAGUCUGGUGCCAGCAGCUGCGGUAAUUCCAGCUCCAAGGGCGUAUACUAUCAUUGCUGCUGUUAAAACACCUGUAGUCUGCCACUGGGUCGCAGGUCUGCUGGGUGGCCGGCCUGGUCCGCCAGUGUGGUGUCCCCUCUCCUCCUCGGAGGAUGGGCCCGCACUGCGCUGGGUCAGUGCUGGGACUCAACCCCCAGCGGUAUGCUCCUGCACCCGAAGCUGAAAGCAUGGUGAGAUCGCUCCUGCUGAAAGCCUCCUUCACUGGAGGCCGAGGCGGUCCGUGCCUCCACCGCAGGCGUGGGCACCCAAGCUGGGACCUGCCCUGGCGCAACCCAGUGGCCCACCACCGGAGUCCACCAUGAAUGACACCGUGGAAAACUCAGUGUGCCCCAAGCAACCUCUCCUGACUGGCUGAAUGUCCAUCCAUGGGAUGUCAGAGCAUCGACCUAGCGUGGCAUUGGAGUUGUGCUGGCCUUGGAACCCGCCCAGGGCAAUGUGGUGCAUGUGCUGUCGACCCAAGGCGGGUUGGUGGACCCCAGUGGCCCUCGCGGUCCCUGGGCCCCUCCCGCUGAGGGCAAGACCUGGCUUGUCACUGACCGGAGACGAUGGAAAUGCUCAGGGUGAAAGAGACUGCAGCGCCAGAGGUGAAAUUCUUAGAUCGCUGCAUGAUCCACCGCAGCGAAGGCGUUCUGCAAGUGCUUGUUCGUCGAUCAAGGAUGAGAGUCUGGGGAGCGAAGAUGAUCAGACACCGUCGUAGUCCAGCACUGUAAACUGUGCCAGCUCGGUCACAGGAGGGAAAGCACCAAAGACCCUUCUGGGACCAUGCCCCCUACAACGAGAAAUCCACAGCCUGUGGGUUCAGGGGGGAGUACUGUCGCAAGGCUGAAACUUAAAGGAAUUGACGGAAUGGCACCACAAGGCGUGGAGUAUGCGGCUUAAUUUGACUCAACACGGGGAAUGUUACCAGGUCAGGACGCAGUCUGGAUGGACAGAUUGAGAGCUCUUUCUUGAUCCUGUGGACGGUGGUGCAUGGCCGCUCCUGAUUGGUGGAGUGAUUUGUCUGGUUGAUUCCGAUAACGAGUGAGAUCUCUGCUUCUCAGUAGACUCAGGCUCGCAUCUGGUAGGGUCUGGAGUGGGGGUCACUGGUCGACCCGCGGGGUGUGCGUCCAGUUCGCUGGCGCCCCACGUGGGCCUGGCCACCCCACUCCCCCGAGAGCCUGGAGGCCUCCUCGCUUCUCCGAAGCGCUGUGUACGCUGCCAAGUGCAAGCAUGCUAGAGCCAACAGCAGGUCUGUGAUGCUCCCAGAUGUCCUGGGCCGCACGCGCACUACAUUGAUUCAGUGAAGGAGUCGAGUGCCUGCCUCGCCAGGCCCUGGCCAGAAGUGGCUGGGAAACCCUGCAAGUCUGGAUCGUACUGGGGAUAGAUGAUUGCAACUGUCUGCCUUGAACGUGGAAUGCCUAGUAGGCGUUGGUCAUCAGCCAACACCGAUUGUGUCCCUGCCAUUUGUACACACCGCCCGUCGUUGCUACCGAUGAUGGCUGGAUAGAACCAUCAGGAGGUCAGGCCACCCCUCUCGGGGCGGUGGCCCAGCUGAAAUUGGGUGAUGCCCAGCUGUUAGAGGAAGCAAAAGUCGUAACAAGGUUGCUGUAGGUGAA